rnacentral:rRNA from 1 species
UACGUAGGAGGCAAGCGUUGUCCGGAAUCAUUGGGCGUAAAGAGCGCGUAGGCGGUCCGGUAAGUCCGCUCUGAAAGUCCGGGGCUCAACCCCGGGAGGCGGGCGGAUACUGUCGGGCUAGAGUCCGGAAGAGGCGAGUGGAAUUCCUGGUGUAGCGGUGAAAUGCGCAGAUAUCAGGAGGAACACCAAUGGCGAAGGCAGCUCGCUGGGACGGUACUGACGCUGAGGCGCGAAAGCCAGGGGAGCAAACGGG